rnacentral:rRNA from 1 species
AUUGAACGCUGGCGGCAGGCCUAACACAUGCAAGUCGAACGGUAACAGGAAGAAGCUUGCUUCUUUGCUGACGAGUGGCGGACGGGUGAGUAAUGUCUGGGAAACUGCCUGAUGGAGGGGGAUAACUACUGGAAACGGUAGCUACUACCGCAUAACGUCGCAAGACCAAAGAGGGGGACCUUCGGGCCUCUUGCCAUCGGCUGUGCCCAGAUGGGAUUAGCUAGUAGGUGGGGUAACGGCUCACCUAGGCGACGAUCCCUAGCUGGUCUGAGAGGAGGACCAGCCACACUGGAACUGAGACACGGUCCAGACUCCUACGGGAGGCAGCAGUGGGGAAUAUUGCACAAUGGGCGCAAGCCUGAUGCAGCCAUGCCGCGUGUAUGAAGAAGGCCUUCGGGUUGUAAAGUACUUUCAGCGGGGAGGAAGGGAGUAAAGUUAAUACCUUUGCUCAUUGACGUUACCCGCAGAAGAAGCACCGGCUAACUCCGUG